rnacentral:lncRNA from 1 species
UGGCCUCCCAAAGUUCUGGGAUUAGAGGGAUGAGCCACUGCGCUCGGUCUAUUUUGACAGUUAUUUUAUCUCAGCAGUUUAAAUAUAUCAUGCUAAUGUAUCUGGUAUUUAUUGUUGGCCCAGAAAUUAUUCCUUUGCAGGUGGUGCAAAGGAUCAGCAUGGGAGUUUUGACCUGCUCCGUUUCCGACCUGGGUCGGUUCACCCCUCCUUAGGCAACCUGGCAGUUCCCUGCUCCAGGGAGGUCACCCUCUUGAUGCUGAAUUUAGCACGGACACCUGAUGGGCACAGUGCACUGCAGCCCAGAGCUCCCGGGCUCAAGCCAUCCUCCUGCCUCAGCCUCCAAGUAGCCAGGACCAUAGGCACGCACCCUGAGUACAGUCUUCCCAGCAAGAAGAACAUGAGUAUUCCCUCCAUCUGGGUCAAGAUUAGAGGCUGCUUUGAAGGAGCAAGGAAAAAU